GGCUGGAGGCUUUGGCCGAGGGGUUGUAGAAGGACAUAUUGUUGUUGCAACUGACAAUCAGGAGGACGCUGCUACUAGUGGGAGAGACUCACAGGCUCACACAACUGUCCCAAAGACUGAUGCUGAGGACUUCGAUGACAAGUCUGUUGCGUUAGGGAAGGCUCUGGAUGAUAUGGUGCAAUUCCUAGAGAGUCAUCCGGGUCAUACGACCAGUUCUGAUAUGUUUCGCCAUGUGCUCUCUGCUGCUCGCAGGAUCAUUACGCUAUCUGAUCAGCGUGGUCGUACAGCGGAAGACAACCAUGGUGGUACGGAGGGUGGUGCAACGCAGCUGGAAGAGGAUAUGUGGAACAAUCCAGACAAUCUAAGUGCCGUUGA